GAUGAAGAACGUAGCGAAAUGCGAUACUUGGUGUGAAUUGCAGAAUCCCGUGAACCAUCGAGUCUUUGAACGCAAGUUGCGCCUCAAGCCAUUAGGUUGAGGGCACGUCUGCCUGGGCGUCACAUAUCGUUGCCUGAUGCCAGUUUCCUCGUGAUGGGUGACUGUGCAGGGCGAAUGAUGGCUUCCCGUGAGCAUUGUUGCCUCAUGGUUGGUUGAAAAUUGAGUCCUUGGUAGGGAGCGCCGUGAUAGAUGGUGGUUGAGUGACGAACGAGACCCAAUCAUGUGAGACCCCUACCGAAUUUGGCCUUCAUGACCCACAUGCGUCUUUGGAACGCUCAUGACGAGACCUCAGGUCAGGCGGGGCUACCCGCUGAAUUUAAGCAUAUCAAUAAGCGGAGGA
rnacentral:misc_RNA from 1 species